UAUCGCUUAUCGACUCGCGACAUAUAUUCGCUGUACGCUCUGUUGGAGGCCGACCUGGAACCUCGGGCACGGACAAAUCGUGCAGUCAGCGGUUUCCAGAAACUGCUGGCGACGUUACAUUUUUUGGCGUCAGGCACAUUCCAGCCUACACUGUCUCAAACAUGCGGUUUUUCACAGUCGACACUGUCGCGCUGUAUAACCCAGGUCAUUAGGGCUUUCCGCAAAUUGACGAUCCAGUACAUCACAUUUCCAGAGACGGACAGCGAAUGUCGUGAGAUCAAAUUAGGCUUUUUCAACAAAUACAAAUUUCCCAAUGUGCUGGGCGCGAUUGACUGUACCCACGUGCAGAUCAGACCGCCACGGAAUUCGGAGGAAUGUUUUCGGAACCGAAAACAUUUCCAUUCCCUGAAUGUACAGGCGGUCUGUGAUGUCAACAUGAGAUUUUUGAACAUUUUUGUGGGAUUUCCUGGAUCAUCUCACGACUCCUUCAUCCUAAGCCAGUCAUCGCUGUUUGACAAGUUCGAAACAGGAAACAUGCCUGGUGGCUGGCUGUUAGGCGAUGCGGGUUAUCCAAACAAACCGUGGCUCUUGACCCCAUUGUCUAAUCCUGUUGGUAGAGCAGAAAAACGUUACCAAGAGACACACAUUGCAUCGAGGCAAAUAAUUGAGCGUGCUUUCGGUGUACUUAAAAGCCGGUUUCGAUGUUUAGACACUUCCGGCGGUGCUCUUUUGUACUCACCGGCGAAGGUUUGCGGCAUGGUAAAUGCAUGUUGUAUUUUACACAACAUAUGUGUCGCAAACCGUUUGCCGGUGACUCUUCGUCGCAGUGCUUUCCGACGCGGGAACCGGUCUUCUGCUCUACCGGUGGGUAUGGACGAAGGAGAUGAUUCCCGGCGGACAUUGAUCCAAAAAAUUUUUUCAGUUGCCUAGUUUUACAUCCUGUUGAUGUACAUCCCCAGGCCAUGUUUGUACAGUUCGUUCCUCCCUGUUUUAUCCUGUUGUUGGGUUACCGCAAAUAUUUGACCCUUUUAUCCAACUCUACCAUGGGCGACCUACUUGUGAUGUGGACCUGACCCUCCGCCAUGUAGCAGACAACCCCC